rnacentral:rRNA from 1 species
GACGAACGCUGGCGGCGUGCUUAACACAUGCAAGUCGAACGGAAAGGCCCCUUUGGUGGUACUCGAGUGGCGACCGGGUGCGUAACACGUGAGUAACCUGCCCUUGACUUCGGGAUAACUUCAGGAAACUGGGGCUAAUACCGGAUAGGAAUCCUUGCUGCAUGGUGGGGGUUGGAAAGCUUCGGCGGUUUUGGAUGGACUGGCGGCUUAUCAGCUUGCUGGUGGGGUAGUGGCUUACCAAGGCUUUGACGGGUAGCCGGCCUGAGAGGGCGACCGGCCACACUGGGACUGAGAGACGGCCGAGACUCCUACGGGAGGCAGCAGUGGGGAAGAUUGCACGAUGGGCGGAGGCCUGAUGCAGCAACGCCGCGUGCGGGAUGACGGCCUUCGUGUUGUAAACCGCUUUCAUCAGGGGCGAUGCUUGUGGUGACGGUACCUGCAGAAGAAGCACCGGCUAACUACGUG